rnacentral:rRNA from 1 species
AAUGAACGCUGGCGGCGUGCCUAACACAUGCAAGUCGCGCGAGAAAACCGACUUCGGUCGGUGAGUAGAGCGGCGAACGGGUGAGUAACACGUGGGCAACCUGCCUGAGAGUGGGGAAUAACCUGGGGAAACCCGGGCUAAUACCGCAUACGUUCGUGGGGCCUCGGCCCCGCGAGGAAAGCCGGCCUCUGCUUGCAAGCUGGCGCUCUCAGAGGGGCCCGCGCCCGAUUAGCCAGUUGGUGGGGUAACGGCCCACCAAAGCUACGAUGGAUAGCCGGCCUGAGAGGGUGAUCGGCCACACUGGGACUGAGAUACGGCCCAGACUCCUACGGGAGGCAGCAGUAGGGAAUAUUGCGCAAUGGACGAAAGUCUGACGCAGCAACGCCGCGUGCGGGAUGAAGCUUCUUGGAGUGUAAACCGCUGUCAGGAGGGACGAACGACCUAUAUUCUAAUAUAAUAUAGGUUUGACGGUACCUCCAGAGGAAGCUCCGGCUAACUCCGUG